AGAGUUUGAUCCUGGCUCAGAAUCAACGCUGGCGGCGUGCCUAACACAUGCAAGUCGCACGAGAAAGUGGAGCAAUCCAUGAGUACAGUGGCGCACGGGUGAGUAACACGUGACUAAUCUACCUCCGAGUGGGGAAUAACCUGGGGAAACCUGGGCUAAUACCGCAUAACACUUACGAGUCAAAGCAGCAAUGCGCUUGGAGAGGAGGUCGCGGUCGAUUAGCUAGUUGGCAGGGUAAAAGCCUACCAAGGCAAAGAUCGGUAGCCGGCCUGAGAGGGCACACGGCCACACUGGCACUGAAACACGGGCCAGACUCCUACGGGAGGCAGCAGUGGGGAAUCUUGCACAAUGGGGGAAACCCUGAUGCAGCGACGCCGCGUGAGCGAUGAAGCCCUUCGGGGUGUAAAGCUCUUUCGGCAGGGAAGAUGGUGACGGUACCUGCAGAAGCAGCUGCGGCUAACUACGUGCCAGCAGCCGCGGUAAUACGUAGGCAGCAAGCGUUGUUCGGAGUUACUGGGCGUAAAGGGUGUGUAGGCGGUUUUUUAAGUUUGGUGUGAAAUCUCCCGGCUCAACUGGGAGGGUGCGCCGAAUACUGAAAGACUAGAGUGCGGGAGAGGAAAGUGGAAUUCCUGGUGUAGCGGUGAAAUGCGUAGAUAUCAGGAGGAACACCGGUGGUGUAGACGGCUUUCUGGACCGUAACUGACGCUGAGACACGAAAGCGUGGGUAGCAAACAGGAUUAGAUACCCUGGUAGUCCACGCCCUAAACGAUGCAUAUUUGGUGUGGGCAGUUCAUUCUGUCCGUGCCGGAGCUAACGCGUUAAAUAUGCCGCCUGGGGAGUACAGUCGCAAGGCUGAAACUCAAAGGAAUUGACGG
rnacentral:rRNA from 1 species